CCAACGGCGUUUUUUAACGUCAUUAAAAUUUCAAUGAAAGAGCAUU
rfam:Danio rerio chromosome 1, GRCz11 reference primary assembly.